AGUCAUUGCUCCAGUGUGGAAUCAGUGCUGGAGUUACGACGUCCUGAUCCGGAGGCUGUGCUGUUGGGGCUUGGAUUUGGACCUCCUUCUUCAGGACAACAUGUUUCACGGAUUCCUAGUCGAUUUCUACAACCAUCCAAGAUUGACAUAAACAAAUUCCUCGAGGAACAAGGCGAAGGCGAGCAAGCAGAAUUCACCUCCAACCCAACAUCACCCGCCCGAGUGAAACCAACGCUGAACUGACGUAUUUUCCUACCAAGAGUCAAAAGACAUAUUUUUGUAACAUAUCUACCACACCAACUUAAUCACCAUCGUACUUAUUAUACUUUAGUCGCGCAGAGUGAGCACUAGAGAGCAAUUAGCGGGUUGCCCGCGCACAACAAAACGGUACCAAGGCAAGACUUUGACCAACACUUACUAAAUCAAUGUCUAUUCCAUUUUCCUGUGAUUCAAUGUGUGAUAUUUAAAUGUCUAUUAUAUUACACCUGAUAUAGGCUCACCAAGAGGCCAAUACUUAUCAAAAAAACUUAAUGGUGCUUUAAAUAUCAACAUUAUUAUGUAUAUCAAGACUUAACUCUAGUGUCCAAGAUGUAAUUUUAAUAAUUAAACAAGUCGUAAUCGAAA